ensembl:lncRNA
GGGGCGGAGACCCGGACGCGGGCUCAUUUUCCCGGCUUCCAGUUGGAGAACGGAGAGGAGCUAGGACUCGAACGGCUCUGAUUCCCCUCGUGACUUCUUGUUUGAGAAGAGUCUUGGUAACCAUCUCUUCAGUGUAAGGAUCCGUUUUGAAAAUACUCUGGCCGUUGGCCAUCUUUCACGCCCGUGCAUUAAACUCGCCAUAUUGGGUGCAGACAGCUGCCUUUUGGCGUUUUCUUCCUGUUCCUUGUGUUGAAGCGUUGUGUCGAGCUCAGUUCUCGCUGGGUCAAAGCCCAAGGACCGAUCUCUCUUUCUCCUCGCUGCCCGCCUUUGAGACUGCAGCAGUCGCGACUCUCCCUGCUACCGGCCUGGGAUCCGCGAUGCUCCACGCGCGUGUCCAGGGCCGACCACUCCUGCUUGGCAGCGUCUCCUUAGCACUGCAGGAACUGAGACGCAACAGCUCUGUGGAUGUGCUUUGAAAGAAGCCUGAAAGGAUAGCGGAUUGCGGAAAGAUCACCUACACUUCUGCUGCUUGGCAUGAAAAUUUAUUUGCUUUAAAAAGAUCAGAAUCAUAUACUGCACUGAACUAGAUUCAUGGCGUUCUUGUGUAAUGGAGUUGUUAUUGUUCUUAAUGUCUGGAGUUUGUGUUUAGGAUUACCUAAUUUUUUUGGUCAAGUCUUCCGAAUCCCAUGGAACAGCUCAGGUCUGUCCUCUGCCAAUUCUGCCCUUCUCCAGGGGGGAUGUCCCCUCUUCCCUGUGGCUAAGUUUCAGGUGAGUUGAGCUUUCGCGAAACGCCCUGUUGCCUCGAGUAGUAAGCGUAUCUUUGCGUGGGGCACACGUGUCCCCAAACCGAUGCUGGUGUUUUAUCUGCUCUCACCGUCUGAGAUCUCGUCCCCAGUUCGGCCUCUCCAGCCUUUCCUGCUCGCCCGUGCUUGGCAUCUUGCUGUGCUGCAGGGACGGCAGAGCAAAAGAACUCAGUUCUUCACCAAAUAGACCAAAAUCACCACUAGAAACAAAGCAGGUAAAUGAAAGAAAGUCAAGAGGAGUAUUGUGGGAAUGAGAUGGAAAAUGUGAGGGUUUGAAGCCUAGCGGAGGGCAUGGGUUUGUGUGGCACUCAGGAUGGGAGACGUUCACAUGUCUGGACAGCAAGGUGGGGUGGGCGUGCGCUGUGGAGGAUACUAGCACCAGAGGUCCCCAGCAAGCGUGGUGGGAGUCCACGGGGUCCAGGACAGUUCCUUGGAGAUAGUUGAUUUUGGCAAGUGGUAAACAAAUGCCGAAGGUCAGCAUAUGAAAGGCUUUGCAGGUCUGGAUGGUGAAGUUGAAGAAGGCUUUCCUCUGUAGGCCAUUCGUGAGUCAUUAAGAGUUUGUAGUGGAAAAGUGACUGAUAAUCUUCCAGAAAAACAGCUGUGGGAGAAUUUAGACAAGAAAGGUAACAUUUGCUACCCUGGCCAUAAUGAACCUUAGCCCUCCGUUAAGCAGGCGCUUUCUUCUUAGUCUUAUUCUACCUGCUUCCUUUCUUUUCCACACUUUUAAUCUCCUGUGAAAGAAAUUCUCAAUUCUUCCUGCUUUGAGCUUAAGCUCUUUUAGUAGUACUUGAUCUUUUACUGAUGUGUGCAUCAGUCAGUGCUUAGAAGAGCUUUUGGGCGGGCAUAGCUCCUCAAAAGACUGCAGGUGCUCUGAAUCAGAUUUCACGUAGGACAGAGAAAUAUGAUUGGCCAACAGUGGCUGCCCACAUAGUCAAGUGUAGAAGAGUGUAAGAGACCUAUCCGCACACUAGAGAUGCGAAGGAUCUAGCCGAAGGCCUGGAGCCCAUGGCAAUGUCCCGUGUGAGUCUGCAUUAGGAGGCUGAAAGAUCCGAGAUAGAAGGCUGAGGGCUCUGUGCUGGGAGGUGGAAGAGUUGGUACUAGAAGCUAAGUCUGCUCUGGAAAGCCGGUGUUGGAAGCUAAAGAAUCUGCUGUUAAAGCCAGGAGACAAUGCCCAAGGCAAAGGCGAAGACCAGAGCUCCUGUGAGGAAAAUCAGCUGCAACAAAGCUCUUCCAAGGGAAAUCAGCUGAAAUCCUUCCCUCCAGUUCUCCUUUUCUACCGUUCCAACAACUGUCUUCCUUAAAGUGGCCUUGAUGCCCAGAAUCCUGCUGACUCAACUCAGCUGAGCGUGCCCCACUCGGGUUGCCAAGUUAAUCAGUUAACUACCACCAGGUGUAGUGAGUGCAGUUGCUGCACAUGGUCACAGUGUACACAGUCGGCCUGCAGUGUCCUGGGGGACACCAAAGUUGGCGGCUGCUCAAGUCCUGCAUGAAGUGGGACUGCUGCGCGUCCUCUGUGUACACCAGGUCGUGUCUGGGGUGCUUGAAACACUUCCGUCCCGGAAGGCGGGAUCACUACUGCAAGGACUGGACCAAGGCAAGGGAGCACGGGCGAGGAAAAUGUGCAGGCUCAGUUCUGUCUGCCCACCCCACGGCUGUACCUGGAUGCGCUCAAGUGAACCCACAGAUGCAGGAUCCGUGGGUGCCAGUGCCAGCCGAGUUCUGAUCAGAAAUGACGUGCUGUGUGCAGAUGAGGCAAAGCGCAUACUUUUAUUACUUUUAGGAUUUGAAUCCUUUCACAUUUAUUGAGAUUUUUUACCUUUUUUUUUGCCUAGAAUUAGUGCAUCUUAUAAGUGAUCAGUGAGCACUUGACAUUGCUGUUGCCGGUAAAGGGUGCCAUAGGGUGUUGGUUCCCUCCUGCUGUUCUAAUCAAUCACGCAAGCCUCGUUGGUUUCAAACUGAGUUCACUCUCACAGUCGCAAGGGCAGCAGUCCAUGGUGUGUCAGGACCGGCUCCUCUGUGCCUGCUCCUGGCUGCUCAGCCUCGUGGGCUUCGAGUGCCUGCCCCGGGUCCUUCCGCUGCCUGCCCCUUCCCGGCCCCCACGCCUCUUCUUCCUCCUCCUCGGAGACCCCCUCCUCCCCCAUGGGAGGACUCUUGUGACUGCGCUGGUCCCACCGUGUGAACCAGGACACCUUCCCCUUCUCAACGCUGUUAACUUGAUCACCUUGCAAAGUCAAGGGUGUCAGAGGUUAGAUACGGAAAUGUGGGAUGGACAUUUUCUGUAAACCAGGUAGCAGGUCAAGUUGGUAGUUUUGUUCAGGUCUUUUCUAUCCCUAUUGAUUUUCUGUCUACUUUAUCAAUUGCUAUGAGAGACAUAUUGAAAUCUUGGAAUGUUUUGAUUUGUCUCUUUUUCCUUGCCGUUCUGUUUUUGCUGCCUAUAUUUUGAAGCUUUGUUAUUAGUUACAUAAUAGGAUUGUUACCGCCUCUUAAUCAGUUGAUCCCUUUAUUGUUGAGUUAACUUUUUUUAUGUCUAGUAAUAGCAUUUGCUUUUAAAUUUCCAUUGAUAUUUGAUUAGGGUCAGCAUGGUCUUUUUUCAUUCUUUUGCUUUUAGUUACUUGUAUCUCUGUAUUUAAAGUGAGUUACUUAUCAGUUUUGCUUUUUUUUUAGUGCUGGAUUUUUAACCCAGGGCCUUGUAUAUCCUAAGCAUGUGCUGAUCUACCUCUAGCUGUGCUCUGAACCUCUGUGUUUUGCUUUUUAAAAUCCAGUCUGGAGGCCAGGGAUUUAGCUCGGUGGUUCUGCUGCCUGCCUCACAAGCGCAAGGUCCCCAGUUCAAACCCCGGUACCAAAAAAAUAAAAUCCAGUCUGGAGCUGGGUGUGGAGGCACACAUAUGUAAUCCCAGCACUCAGGAGGCUGAGGCAGGAGAAUCACCACAAGUUCGAGGCCAGCCCAGGCUACAUAAUGAGUUCAAGGCUGGUCUGAAAUACAUGGCGAGACCUUGUCUCAAAAAAAACAACAAAAACAAAACAAAACAAAACAAAACAAAAAUCUAAUCUUGAUCCAGAUAUCCCUGGAAUUUGGCAACCCUGAGCAGACCAGGUGUCUGAUAGACACUGCCCUCACAGGCGUCUAAAGUGUGCUGUCCUGUUCUUAGUGUUAUCGGGCAGUUCCUUCAGAAUGGCUCGCCAAUUAGACGUAUUCCAAGUCCUUCUUGGCU